AUCGCUUCUCGGCCUUUUGGCUAAGAUCAAGUGUAGUAUCUGUUCUUAUCAGUUUAAUAUCUGAUACGUCUCCUAUCCGGGGACCAUAUAUUAAAUAGAUUUUUGGAACAGGGAGAUGGAAUAGGGGCUUGCUCCGUCCGCUCCACGCAUCGACCUGGUAUUGCAGUAUCUCCAGGAACGGUGCACUCCCU
rnacentral:snRNA from 1 species